UCUCUCUCUCUAGCCUCAGUGCCGCUCACCCCCAUUCCUCUUCAUCAUCUCUCAGUUAUUUCAUCUUCUCUUAAAAAAAACUCAAGCCACUCAAUUUCUCUAAACCCUAGCCGUCACUCAUCCAAUUUCUCUCAACCAUGGCCUCCAUUUUAGGCCUCGAGUUUACAAAAUCUGGAGAGCUUUCUUUCUCGCCUGCAAACGAAGGUGGCCGAGUAUGAGAGCCCGUGGUGGACCGCCGCCAAAAAACCCGACGAAUCCGCACUGAGUCAGCUUAUAGCAGCCGAGAACGACUCGGGCGAUGUCGACCGCCACCGCCACCGGCUCAUCGGCUCCACACAUUCUCUGGCAAUUGAAGUUGAAUAUGGAGAAGGUUUUUGCACAUUUAGACAUGUUGGACUCUCAAGUUUGAUGUGUAUGAUUUUUUGAACGACAAACUGCAAGAAGGUUUUCUUAAACGAAAAACAAUAUGACGUGAAACCUGAUGAUCUAAUUGCGCAUUGAGUUUUUUUUGGUGAGGAAUUUCGAGUUUUCCGCCAAUUUGGAAGCUUGAUAGUUUUCGAAGAUCCUUUAUUUUGAUGGCUGAACCAAUUUGGAAUUUCAUUUCCUGCACAUACAGUGCUAACUAAAGUCCGAGCUGAGACGGUGCUACCUA